CCGCGAUAGGUUAUUGUUUCUGGAAUGGGCAAUGGCUCANACCUACAUGGCCCCAGGAUGGCACUGCGGCCGAUCAGGUUGUUGGUGAGGUAAUGGCCCACCAAGCCUGUAACCGGUACGGGCUCUGAGAGGAGGAGCCUGGAGAUGGGCACUGAGACAAGGGCCCAGGUCCUAUGGGACGCAGCAGGCGCGAAACCUUCGCAAUAGGCGAAAGCCUGACGAGGUUAUUCCGAGUGUUCCCUGCUAAAGGGAUCUUUUGCUAGCUCUAAAAAUGCUGGUGAAUAAGGGGUGGGCAAGCCUGGUGUCAGCCGCCGCGGUAAUACCAGCACCCCGAGUGGUCGGGAUGGUUAUUUGGCCUAAAGCAUCCGUAGCCGGCGCAUCAAGUCUUCCGUUAAAUCCACCUGCUCAACAGAUGGGCUGCGGGAGAUACUGAUGCGCUAGGAGGCGGGAGAGGCGAGGGGUAUUCCAUGGGUAGGGGUAAAAUCCUUUGAUCUAUUGAGGACCACCUAUGGCGAAGGCAGUCUACCAGAACACGUUCGACGGUGAGGGAUGAAAGCUGGGGGAGCAAACCGGAUUAGAUACCCGGGUAGUCCCAGCUGUAAACGAUGCAGACUCGGUGAUGCACUGGCUUGUGGCCAGUGCAGUGCCGCAGGGAAGCCGUUAAGUUUGCCGCCUGGGAAGUACGUACGCAAGUAUGAAACUUAAAGGAAUUGGCGGGGGAGCACCACAAGGGGUGAAGCCUGCGGUUCAAUUGGAUC
rnacentral:rRNA from 1 species